UACGGAGGGUGCAAGCGUUGUCCGGAUUUAUUGGGUUUAAAGGGUGCGUAGGCGGUUUGUUAAGUCCGGGGUGAAAGCCCACUGCUCAACAGUGGAACUGCCCUGGAAACUGGCGAACUUGAGUACAGACGAGGGCGGCGGAAUGGAUGGUGUAGCGGUGAAAUGCAUAGAUACCAUCCAGAACCCCGAUUGCGAAGGCAGCUGCCUAGACUGUAACUGACGCUGAGGCACGAAAGCGUGGGGAGCGAACAGG
rnacentral:rRNA from 1 species